CUGUGAGAUUACAUAUGCAUAUAGUGUUAAUGCUAUAAGAGUGUAGUAUCUACUCACAAAGUUAUCAGGUUAAAUAGUUUUAUCAACUAAUAAAAAUGUUAUUGCAUAACUAAUGUUAUACUGUAGCCCUGCCACGAUAUCCAGCGAAAAUUAUUUUGCUGAGUAUCGUAGUAAAAGUUAAGAUAUGAUGUUGAGAAUUUUUUUGAGUCGUGCAACAACAUUAACAGCAAACUAUAAUACAAAUCUAUCUUUUUAAAAGUUUGUAU
rnacentral:misc_RNA from 1 species